AAAAAAGCGAUGAAGAGAAGAAGUAGAAAGUGCAGCUUUUCCGCAGAGAGCUCCGUUUGGUGCGAAGGAGCAAAGGCAAGCUUUCGAACAUGGCCUCUGAGCUGCGCGGCUGAACGGCGGUUCGUCACCAAAGUAAGUCGCGACAAGUUAAGGUUCUUGUUGCCAAAACCAAAGUAUCGAGCGGCUUUCUAAGCUCCGUACUUGCUGAGACCGGUCAUGCGAGUGUCCGGUGAAUCAAGGUGGUACCGCGGGAUAACCCCCGUCCUUAGU
rnacentral:ncRNA from 1 species